rnacentral:rRNA from 1 species
AGAUUGAACGCUGGCGGCAUGCUUUACACAUGCAAGUCGAACGGUAACAGGCCGCAAGGUGCUGACGAGUGGCGAACGGGUGAGUAAUGCAUCGGAACGUGCCCAGUCGUGGGGGAUAACGCAGCGAAAGCUGUGCUAAUACCGCAUACGAUCUAUGGAUGAAAGCGGGGGACCGAAAGGCCUCGCGCGAUUGGAGCGGCCGAUGUCAGAUUAGCUAGUCGGUGGGGUAAAGGCCCACCAAGGCGACGAUCUGUAGCUGGUCUGAGAGGACGACCAGCCACACUGGAACUAGAGACACGGUCCAGACUCCUACGGGAGGCAGCAGUGGGGAAUUUUAGGGACUAAGUGGGACGCGAAGCCUAGAUCCGAGUCAAGUGCCCGUCGGUGCGAAGGAAGAAGGUCCCGUUUCGGGUUAGUAAACGUUCGGUACGUUUUUAGGUAACCGGUAAACGUAAACGGUUACGUA